rnacentral:misc_RNA from 1 species
UGAACUUCAAAGAAGAGAACAAUGAUGGCUCACAGAAGAUCUCAGGUGAUGCCCUGAAGGACCUCUACAAGUCUUUUGCCUCUGAAUAUCCCAUUGUGUCUAUUGAAGAUCCAUUCGACCAAGAUGACUGGGAGCACUACGCGAAGAUGACCAGUGAAAUUGGAGACAAAGUUCAAAUUGUGGGAGAUGAUCUCUUGGUCACCAACCCCAAGAGGGUGGAGAAGGCAAUCAAGGAAAAGACUUGCAAUGCCCUUCUUCUCAAGGUUAACCAAAUUGGAUCCGUCACUGAGAGUAUUGAGGCAGUAAAAAUGUCAAAACGUGCUGGUUGGGGAGUAAUGGCCAGCCACCGAAGUGGAGAGACAGAGGAUACUUUCAUUGCCGAUCUCUCUGUUGGUUUGGCGACGGGCCAAAUCAAAACUGGUGCUCCAUGCAGAUCAGAACGUCUUGCCAAAUACAACCAGCUGUUGCGUAUCGAAGAGGAGCUCGGCUCGGAUGCAGUCUAUGCUGGAGCAAACUUCCGCAAGCCUGUUGAACCGUACUAGAUCACACCAGAUGAGUGGUGAAGGUUGUUGAUCCAUCUCAGUAAUGCAGUGAAUAAGUGUUGCGAGACUGGUUGUUUUGUCGAACUCAGAGAUCCCCUCUUUCCCUUAAUAAUUUCAGAAAAGUUUUGUUCUGAGAGGUUGAACUAUAGUUCCGAGAAGUUUUUCUAGGAAGACAUGAAUGAUAUGUCAUGGUCUAUCUAGUUGCAUAGCUCUAAUUUUUAAUGAAUGAAUGAGUGCCUUUUAAUUCUUAUUAUUG